UCGCGGCGGUGUGCGCAGAAGGGUCUGGGCUCGAGCCUGCCUGGAGCCGCCGCCGGUGCAGAUCUUGGUGGUAGUAGCAAAUACUCCAGCGAGGCCCUGGAGGACUGAUGUGGAGAAGGGUUUCGUGUGAACAGCCGUUGCACACGAGUCAGUCGACCCUAAGCCCUAGGAGAAAUCCGAUAUUAACGGCGAUGGGAAACACUACUCUUAAUAAUAUGAAAGCAGCCCAUUGAUCGGGCGAAAGGGAAUCCGGUUCCUAUUCCGGAACCCGGCAGCGGAACCGUUGUUUGUCGGGCCCUCACAAGGGGUUCGUCAGGGCAACCUAAAAGGGCCCGGAGACGCCGUCGGGAGCCCCGGAAAGAGUUUUCUUUUCUGCAUGAGCGUUCGAGUUCCCUGGAAUCCUCUCGCAGGGAGAUAGGGUUUGGAACGCGAAGAGCACCGCAGUUGCGGCGGUGCCCGGGAAUUCCCGACGGACC
rnacentral:rRNA from 1 species